CUACGGGGCGCAGCAGUGAGGAAUUUUGCGCAAUGGGGGGAACCCUGACGCAGCAACGCCGCGUGAGUGAUGAAGGCUUUCGGGUCGUAAAGCUCUGUCAAGUGGGAAGAACCUAUGCAGUGUUAAUAUCACUGUAUACUGACGGUACCACUGAAGGAAGCACCGGCUAACUCCGUGCCAGCAGCCGCGGUAAUACGGGGGGUGCAAGCGUUAUUCGGAUUCAUUGGGCGUAAAGGGCACGUAGGCGGCUUGGUAAGUCAGAUGUGAAAGCCCGGGGCUUAACCCCGGAAGUGCAUUUGAUACUGUGAGGCUUGAGUAUGGGAGAGGGAAGUGGAAUUCCUGGUGUAGAGGUGAAAUUCGUAGAUAUCAGGAGGAACACCGGUGGCGAAGGCGACUUCCUGGACCAAUACUGACGCUGAGGUGCGAAGGCGUGGGUAGCAAACAGGAUUAGAUACCCGUGUAGUC
rnacentral:rRNA from 1 species